rnacentral:lncRNA from 1 species
GCUGCUGGAGAGCUAACCGAUGGCACCUUGCUGAGGGAGCUGUACAUCGCCCUGCGAGUCCCCGAUGCCCUCCGCGACCUACUGCGAGGCAACGUGCGGCAACUGCGGCCGAACGUGCUCGACGCGUGCAAUGCGCGCGCCAAAGCUCGUGCGGCGUUGGACCUGGAGGCGCAAUCUGCGGGGAGACCCCGCACAUCAGCGGAGCUAGCGCUGACCGUGUACUGGGACAUGACGGGCAGGGCAUGCCUG